GCAGGUUAUCUCAGAUUUGCCCCUGC
rnacentral:piRNA from 1 species